rnacentral:rRNA from 1 species
AUUGAACGCUGGCGGCAUGCCUUACACAUGCAAGUCGAACGGCAGCAUGAUCUAGCUUGCUAGAUUGAUGGCGAGUGGCGCACGGGUGAGUAAUACAUCGGAACGUGCCCUGUAGUGGGGGAUAACUAGUCGAAAGAUUAGCUAAUACCGCAUACGACCUGAGGGUGAAAGUGGGGGACCGCAAGGCCUCAUGCUAUAGGAGCGGCCGAUGUCUGAUUAGCUAGUUGGUGAGGUAAAGGCUCACCAAGGCGACGAUCAGUAGCUGGUCUGAGAGGACGAUCAGCCACACUGGGAGUGAGACACGGCCCAGACUCCUACGGGGGGCAGCAGUGGGGAAUUUUGGACAAUGGGCGAAAGCCUGAUCCAGCAAUGCCGCGUGUGUGAAGAAGGCCUUCGGGUUGUAAAGCACUUUUGUCCGGAAAGAAAUGGCUCUGGUUAAUACCUGGGGUCGAUGACGGUACCGGAAGAAUAAGGACCGGCUAACUACGUG